rnacentral:rRNA from 1 species
UACAGAGGGUGCGAGCGUUAAUCGGAAUUACUGGGCGUAAAGCGCGCGUAGGCGGCUUUGCAAGUCGGGUGUGAAAUCCCCAGGCUUAACCUGGGAACUGCAUUCGAGACUGCAUUGCUAGAGUAUGGGAGAGGGAAGUGGAAUUUCCGGUGUAGCGGUGAAAUGCGUAGAUAUCGGAAGGAACACCAGUGGCGAAAGCGGCUUCCUGGUCCAGCACCGACGUUCAGGCACGAAAGCGUGGGGAGCAAACAGG